ensembl:lncRNA LINC02055 long intergenic non-protein coding RNA 2055
AAGAGAGAGAAGACAUUUAUUGAGGCAAGCAGCUGGAGUGGACCUGCCCCCAUCACCAGGCCAGCUUCCCACCUGCACGUGCAGCUCUUUCUUCUUUUGCAGGAGGCUGGCUCUGCUCAUUAGACAUGCAACAAAGAGCUGGCCUGUGGAGCACACAUCCAUAUUCAUAACUCAAGUCAGCUGGAAAGUUGUACAUUUUUCUUUCUGGGAAGUCAUGGCGACAAAGACUGAAGACCCAGGCAGCACAAAUGUGAAUGAUGGUUCCAUGGAAAAGAGAAGGAGGUGAACAAAAGGAAGAAAUGCAGAGAAAAAUAUGGAAUAGAAAUAUGAGGGAAGAUAUUAGCAAACUGGCUACAUCUUUUAUGACAAACUCAACUGAUUACAUCUUUUCCAAGAACAUCUUCAGAGGUUUGCUGGAGUUUGGAUUUACUACUGAGUCAUAUUUGGAGCAUGCUGGAAUCUUACAACUGAGAUUACCGAGUCAGAAACUAAGUAUCCUGAUAUGGUUUGGCUGUGUCCCCACUCAAAUCUCAUCUUGAAUCAUAACUUCCACAAUUCCCACAUGUCAUGGGAGGAACCCAGUGGGAGGUGACUGAGUUACGGGGGCACGUCUUUCCUGCUCUGCUCUCAUCAUAGUGAAUGAGUCUCACGAGAUAUGAUAGUUUAAAAAAAAAAAGAAAAAAAAAAA